rnacentral:rRNA from 1 species
AGUCGAGGGGUAUAGCACUUCGGUGCUAGAGACCGGCGCACGGGUGCGUAACGCGUAUGCAAUCUACCUUUUACAGGGGGAUAGCCCAGAGAAAUUUGGAUUAAUACCCCAUAGUAUAUAUGAAUGGCAUCAUUUAUAUAUUAAAGUCACAACGGUAAAAGAUGAGCAUGCGUCCCAUUAGCUAGAUGGUAAGGUAACGGCUUACCAUGGCAACGAUGGGUAGGGGUCCUGAGAGGGAGAUCCCCCACACUGGUACUGAGACACGGACCAGACUCCUACGGGAGGCAGCAGUGAGGAAUAUUGGACAAUGGGCGCAAGCCUGAUCCAGCCAUGCCGCGUGCAGGAUGACGGUCCUAUGGAUUGUAAACUGCUUUUAUACGAGAAGAAACACUCCUUCGUGAAGGAAUUUGACGGUAUCGUAAGAAUAAGGAUCGGCUAACUCCGUGCCAGCAGCCGCGGUAAUACGGAGGAUCCAAGCGUUAUCCGGAAUCAUUGGGUUUAAAGGGUCCGUAGGCGGUCUAGUAAGUCAGUGGUGAAAGCCCAUCGCUCAACGGUGGAACGGCCAUUGAUACUGCUGGACUUGAAUUAUUAGGAAGUAACUAGAAUAUGUAGUGUAGCGGUGAAAUGCUUAGAGAUUACAUGGAAUACCAAUUGCGAAGGCAGGUUACUACUAAUGGAUUGACGCUGAUGGACGAAAGCGUGGGUAGCGAACAGGAUUAGAUACCCUGGUAGUCCACGCCGUAAACGAUGGAUACUAGCUGUUGGGAGCAAUCUCAGUGGCUAAGCGAAAGUGAUAAGUAUCCCACCUGGGGAGUACGUUCGCAAGAAUGAAACUCAAGGGAUUGACGGGGGCCGCA